GUNNNCGACGCGUGGUACGUGAACCGUCUAGAGGCCUUGGGGACGAAACGCGUGAGUACGGUGCAUCCCUCGUGGGAGCGCGCCGGCGUCCGUUCGUCGUGCGGCGGCCGUACUUUCGGCGGGCGGAGCGCCACGACCGGUUCGCCGGCGGCGAGAAACUCCCGGGCAAGGUGACCUUCGCCUCGGCGCAGGAGCAUACAGGCUCGGUGAGCGUCGGCCCGUCGGCGGACCGAGGAAGACCGUCGCGGAGCGGCGUCGACCGCCCGUCGUGUGGUCGCGUUCGACUCGGGGGGACUGGUUCCAGUGCCCUCGGACCGCGCGGCCGCAGCGGCGGGACGGCCCGGCGUCGCGCCUGGGGUCGGUGGCGAAACGGCCGGCAACCUGUCCGACCCGUCUUGAAACACGGACCAAGGAGUCUAACAUGUGCGCGAGUCGUUGGGCGCUACGAAACCCGAAGGCGCAAUGAAAGUGAAGGCCCGGUCUCCGGCCGGCCUGGGUGGGAUCCGGACGGUCUCGGCCGUCCGGCGCACCACCGGCCCGUCUCGUUCGCCGCGUCGAAUAGGCGGAGCAAGAGCGUACACGUUGGGACCCGAAAGAUGGUGAACUAUGCCCGAGUAGGACGAACCAGAGGAAACUCUGGUGGAGGUCCGCAGCGAUUCUGACGUGCAAAUCGAUCGUCAAACUUGGGUAUAGGGGCGAAAGACUAAUCGAACCA
rnacentral:rRNA from 1 species